UGCCAGACUCCUACGGGAGGCAGCAGUGGGGAAUAUUGCACAAUGGGGGAAACCCUGAUGCAGCGACGCCGCGUGAGUGAAGAAGUAUUUCGGUAUGUAAAGCUCUAUCAGCAGGGAAGAAAAUGACGGUACCUGACUAAGAAGCCCCGGCUAACUACGUGCCAGCAGCCGCGGUAAUACGUAGGGGGCAAGCGUUAUCCGGAUUUACUGGGUGUAAAGGGAGCGUAGACGGCGACGCAAGUCUGGAGUGAAAGCCCGGGGCCCAACCCCGGGACUGCAUUUGGAACUGUUAAGCUGGAGUGUCGGAGAGGCAGGCGGAAUUCCUAGUGUAGCGGUGAAAUGCGUAGAUAUUAGGAGGAACACCAGUGGCGAAGGCGGCCUGCUGGACGAUAACUGACGUUGAGGCUCGAAAGCGUGGGGAGCAAACAGGAUUAGAUACCCUCGUACA
rnacentral:rRNA from 1 species